UGCAGUUAAACUGACAAGCCCAAAUGUUUAUAGUGAACUUAAAUCUUUAUAUGUUUAUAUGUUUUGCCUGUUUAAAAAGGUGAUGCAUAUAUCUAGGUUCAUCUGUGUGAAACUUAGUGAUGUGUUUGUUGUGUUUAUUCUUAUUCUGAUCAUUGUUAUACAGUCACUAGCUGGAAAAAUUGAUUUUUUUCUGAUCUGAUCUUUUUUCUGAUCUUAAUUGCAGUUCGCCCCCUUUUCCAUAUUUAUUUUUUUAGGAAAACAUAACAUACAUAACAGCAUGACAGUUUUUCAUAAAUAAAAAAAAUUGCCAAAUCACUUAAGUUUUGUCCUACAAAUCUACAGAAUGUAAAGGACAAAGAAAAACACAGUCCAAGAUCCAUUUCUAUUGCGGUCACUGAUAUUUUAUAACAUGAGCUGUUCACCCUCCACCCCAUUUCCUGAGUCAGGUACAGGUAUUGGUGCCAAGUUUCUAAAAACAAUUAAAAUACUAUGUUCAAUUCAUCCACCUUUGCGACAAAAGCAAAAAUAAUCAAACCACAUACACUACCGAACAUGAAGUCUCUCACUCCCAAACAAAAUUGUUCAAUUCAAAUAAAGUUGUUUUUGUCACGAUCUGGGUUUUUGUUUUAUUCUGAAGGACUCUGGUUUCACUCGCCAUGUUUUGGUUUCCUGUUUUAUUUUGUAGUACUUUCGGUUACUGUUUCCAUCUGGUUAUUUCCCGCUUCAUGUUCCGGUUGUCAUUACUCGCACCUGCCCGUCAUUUAGUAAUCAGCCCUCAGUAUUUGAGCACCAGUAUUCACCCAAGCGAACCGCCAGAUUGUUGACUUCACUUUCCAGCAUUCUCUCGUUCAGCUUACCCCGUUGCCGACCUGGUUCUGUGUUCCUGAUUACCGCUUCUCGUCUGAUCCUGACCGCAAUGGAGAGGUAUGCGGUGCACUGCCUUAUUUGCAACCAUCCUCAGAAAUGCAUGACAUCCCCACCUGAAGAGGGUCUGCAUGAGAGGAAGCGCCCAGCAGAGAGGGAAGAAUGUGGGACUUUACUGACCUGGAGGAGUAUUGUAAAGAUCUGGCAGUAUGCCAGAAUUUACGCAGCGUCCUCCAGAGCAGGGGCUUCAUAAUCGUUAACAGUCCUGAAGCAGACAGACAGAGGCCAGUCUCUGGGUAUAGUCUCUGGCACUCCCUCAGAGGAAAGGGUGCAGUUGGCGUUGGACAAAGAGACGAUGUGGACCAUCAACCCAAAGUCCAAGACAUUAUGAGGGCCUAGGUUGCACCACCAGAACAGCAACUCCAUAAAAGGAAAUCCGUCAUCGCUUCAAUCGUGUAAUAGAAGUGGAAGGGCCUAGCCUUAAGGGAUUUUGAAGCCAUGAAGGGAAGGGGCGUUGUAGCGAAUAUGCCCUUCAGCAAAUGAGAUGUGAUCUGUGAUUACCACGGCACCAUAACUUCAGAAGAAGGGAGGCAGAAGGAGCAGUCUGGCUUCCUCUUUUUCUUUAAGGGACAGAAGGGGGACGCGCUCUGCUGUGACGCCACUGCAUCCUCAUGCACAUGCCAUCCUGACCUUAAAACCUAUGGCAGGAUGGUUAACCACUCCAGGAAAAUGCCCAACCUCAAACCCAAGAGGCAC